AGGCCCAGUGUGCGCCUUGCAGACGGGCGGUGUCAGUCCUCUAAGGAGCUCACUCCCCAAGGUGCGAAACCAAGCUACUGGCCACUUCCGCGCCCUUCACCCAGU